rnacentral:rRNA from 1 species
CUGAUCCAGCCAUGCCGCGUGUGUGAAGAAGGCCCUCGGGUUGUAAAGCACUUUCAGCGAGGAAGAACGCCUGGCGGUUAAUACCCGCCAGGAAAGACAUCACUCGCAGAAGAAGCACCGGCUAACUCCGUGCCAGCAGCCGCGGUAAUACGGAGGGUGCAAGCGUUAAUCGGAAUUACUGGGCGUAAAGCGCGCGUAGGUGGCUUGAUAAGCCGGUUGUGAAAGCCCCGGGCUCAACCUGGGAACGGCAUCCGGAACUGUCAGGCUAGAGUGCAGGAGAGGAAGGUAGAAUUCCCGGUGUAGCGGUGAAAUGCGUAGAGAUCGGGAGGAAUACCAGUGGCGAAGGCGGCCUUCUGGACUGACACUGACACUGAGGUGCGAAAGCGUGGGUAGCAAACAGGAUUAGAUACCCUGGUAGUCCACGCCGUAAACGAUGUCGACCAGCCGUUGGGUGCCUAGCGCACUUUGUGGCGAAGUUAACGCGAUAAGUCGACCGCCUGGGGAGUACGGCCGCAAGGUUAAAACUCAAAUGA